rnacentral:rRNA from 2 species
AAAUUAAUAUUUAUUUAAAUUAUAAAUUUUAUUUAAUUUUAAAAAAAGAAAUUUUAUUUUUAUUAUAUUUAUGAAAAAAUUUAUUAUUAUUAUAGUUAAAAGUAUUGUGAAAGAAAAUAUAUAAUUUAUUAUAAAGAAAAAUUAAAAUUUUGUACCUUGUGCAUCAGGGUUAAUUUAAAAAUAAUUUUAUAUAUAAAUAUUCUCGAAUUCAAAAGAGUUAAUUAAUUAUAAAUUUUAUUGUGAAAUAAAUAUUUAAAAUAUUUAAUUUGAAAUGAAACGUUAUUCGUUUUUGAAUAUAUCUAGUUUUUAAAUAAAUAAAUUUAAUUUAGUUAUUUAUAUUUAAAAUUUUUAAUUUUUAAAAUUUUAUUAUAAAUAAGUAAUUAUUUUAGGGAUAAGCUUAAAAUAAAAAAACUAUAAUUAAAUAUUUAAAAUUUAAUAAAUUAUAGGAUUAUAAUUUUCUAUAAAUAAAAAAAUGUUAUAAUUAAUUAUUAAUAAUAUAAAAUUUAUAUUAAUAUUUAGUUUUUAUAUUUAAAUAUAUAUAUAAAUAAAAUUUAUAUAGAAAUAGUGAUUAAAUUAGUAUAAAUUUAUGUAAAUUUAAAUUGAUAAUUAAGGUUAAUUUAAGGAACUCGGCAAAUUUAUUUUUCACCUGUUUAUUAAAAACAUGUCCUUUUGAUUAUAAUUUAAGGUCUAAUCUGCCCACUGAAAUUUUUAAAUGGCCGCGGUAUCUUGACCGUGCAAAGGUAGCAUAAUAAUUAGUUUCUUAAUUAGAAGCUGGAAUGAAAGAUUGAAUGAGAAAAUAACUGUCUCAAUUUAAUUUAGUUAGAACUUUAUUUUUAAGUUAAAAAGCUUAAAUAUUUUUAAAAGACGAGAAGACCCUAUAGAGUUUUAUUUAUAUAAAAAUUAUAAAUUUAUAGAUUUUAAAAAUUAUAAUUUUUAUAUAAAUUUUGUUGGGGUGAUAGAAAAAUUAAUUAAACUUUUUUUAUAUAAAAACAUAUAUAAAUGAUUAUUUGAUCCAAAAUUUUUGAUUAAAAGAUAAAAUUACCUUAGGGAUAACAGCGUAAUUUUUUUUGAGAGUUCUUAUCGAAAAAAGAGAUUGCGACCUCGAUGUUGGAUUAAAGUAAAAUUUUGGUGUAGAAGCUAAAAAUUUAGGUCUGUUCGACCUUUAAAACUUUACAUGAUCUGAGUUUAAACCGGUGUAAGCCAGGUUGGUUUCUAUCUUUAAAAAAAAGAAAUAUUUUAGUACGAAAGGACCAAGUAUUUAUUAAAUUAAUUAUAAAUUGAAUUUUAUU